UUUCUAAGUCUGUGAUAUGAAUAUUUUUAAAGGUUUUAUUUAGUGCAACUAAAAAUAUCAUAUUGAAAUAACUGAUCAUGAUUUUUAUAUUGAAAAUCUGAGUACAUAUUGCUGUUUCUUAAAAGUGUAGUAUUGUUUUAUAAAAAAAUAACACUUGCCCAACACACCACUUGAAUAUCGCCUGCAGCGCUGUGGGAUGAACCAAACGCUGGGUUACGGCGCCCGAUGCGAGACGCUCAUGAGACCCCAUGAAAGGUGUUGGUUGCUCUAGACAGCAGGACGGUGGCCAUGGAAGUCGGAAUCCGCUAAGGAGUGUGUAACAACUCACCUGCCGAAGCAACUAGCCCUGAAAACCCUUAUGUAAGGAACGGAGGCUUUUUCAAGUAACUGCCUAGGCACCCUGAG
rnacentral:ncRNA from 1 species